AAAGAUAUAGCAUAUUCUUCUGAAUAUACCUUAUUAACCCAUUCCGAGUACCCUUACCCGUUGCUUCCGCGAGGCUGUCCUCACGGCCCUCUGAAGAUUUAUCUUUGGGGAGUCCUUGCGGAAGGUAUACAAUAAACUCUUGCAUUACCAUGUCAUCUGUCUGAAUCUGUUUAAAACAAAUAUUA
rnacentral:misc_RNA from 1 species